AACAUCCACAUUCAUCCUGUCUAGACAUAAUGAUUUCAUGAAAAAUGGCUUCAUGUUGAAAGAUAAUUUACUUGGGAUUAGUUCUUGAGCACUCUUUUGCUUGCUUGAAAUGUCACCAACCUUUUGACGCGAGGAUAAACAUUUGUGAUGAGUGGACCCGGUUACUCAGUUACAGUUUUACGUGGUUACUAGCACUACUCGUAGUUAAUUGACUAAAGGAGUAGAUUAUUUAUAGCAUUUUUCCUUCCCUUCUCUUUGUACAUACAUAUAUAUUUCACAUAUGAAACUUACGGUUAUUAAACAUACAAAUCUAGAUAGGUAGUUGUGUAGCUUCCCUAGGUAUUGGAAUUCACCUCAAGUCAAUAAAAAAUUAGUUGAGUGCAAUACCCAAAUAAGUUAUGUUAACACAUUUUAUCGAAGAUAGUCUUUCAUAGGGUGAAAGAUGAAAAAUAAGGUAAAAAUCAUAGAAGGUUACCUAUGAAUGUAGUUUAAUUCUUAAAACAUCACAGUUGAGUUGAUUUGGGAAAAGCUAAGGCAAUGGUGAAAAGGAUGGGGUUAAAGUCUAUUGACACUAUAUUAGUGUGUGUCGUAGGCAAGGCUAAAAGUGUGUGUCAUAAAAUGUCCCUAAAAAAAUUUUGACCUCAAUAGAUAUGAUGUAACAUAAUCAAUGUGAGACUUAAAAGUGCAGUAUGUAUUUUUCCCAUACUUAAACUGCACAUUGUCCCUAAUGUGAUGCAAAUAAAAUGGAAAAUAAGAAAAUAAAAGAAAAUAAAAGAAGGAAUAAAAGAAGUCUCCUAGUGUUGUGGUUGAGAGGUGGAACAUAUUGGAGGCAUCAUUUGGUUCGGGGUUGAGGGGUGGCUUUUCCUAAUUGGGGUAGGGACUAUACCAGCCCUUCAACUUUAUCUGCUAACUGGCAGGUUAGUUGUUCGAGGUUAUGUAAGCAUCCAUUGAUUAUUCAAACAUACAUCAGGAUAUAGUCCAUGAAUUGCUGGAAGUCAGUAAGGGUUAAGUCUGUGGUAGCAAUUCUAUAUAUUCUUUCUUUUUAUGAUAGAUUCUCUUGUUUUUAGAUCGGUGGUCCUAGAGGGGCAAAGUAGGGUUCGUCAUCUUUAAGUUACAAUAAGUCCAUGUCAUCUAAGGAACCUAGAUCUAAGGGGGUUUGUAGGCAAGCAAUGUGCAGGUCGGUUUCCUCAAUAUCAAAGUCAGUGAUGAAGAGGGUAAGUCGGGCAAUGAUUGAACCUAGGAUUAGAGGUCUUUUAAAGGAAAUGACAUUAGAGAACUAUGAUGCAAACCAAAAACCCAGGUUCACCUUUCUCUUAUGGAAAAUAUACCAUAAAAAGUAUAACUUGGUUUUUGACAAAAUGCUUGGUGCAUCUUUUCAACCUGAAAAAGAAUAAGCUAAAAACCUAUGAAUGUAUUUCAUGCAUGGGUCAUGUAGAUAAGGUCCUUAGUUUCGUAAGUAUCUGGUGGGUUGUCAGAAAAUUUUUCAUACAUAGU
rnacentral:lncRNA from 1 species